rnacentral:rRNA from 1 species
AUUGAACGCUAGCGGGAUGCUUUACACAUGCAAGUCGAACGAGCGGCGGACGGGUGAGUAAUAUAUCGGAACGUGCCCGGUAGAGGGGGAUAACUACUCGAAAGAGUGGCUAAUACCGCAUACUAUCGGAGGAGCCCAUAUGGGAUUAGCUAGUUGGUGGGGUAAAGGCUCACCAAGGCAACGAUCCCUAGCUGGUCUGAGAGGACGACCAGCCACACUGGGACUGAGACACGGCCCAGACUCCUACGGGAGGCAGCAGUGGGGAAUUUUGGACAAUGGGGGAAACCCUGAUCCAGCCAUCCCGCGUGUAUGAGAAGGCCUUCGGGUUGUAAAGUACUUUUAGCAGGGAAGCGGUAUCUGCAGAAGAAGCACCGGCUAACUACGUGCCAGCCGCCGCGGUAAUUC